ensembl:lncRNA
UGUUCUUUAUAGCUGCUAGAAGUGAGAACUUCAACUCUCAGGUCUCCUAUUGGGAGCUACCAUGGCUAACUCUAAUAACCGUUGGUCCUUCCUGUUCCUCUCUGGGAAAUGAAGGAGGGUUUCUCUUUCCCUUCCAAACCAGAGUUACAUGUAUUUUGCUUCUGGCCAGAUUCCUGUUGAUGCUCAAGUCCUGCAUGUCUUCAAAAUAGGGUAACCUUUAAUCUCUGCUGCAGAAGAGUUUGUGGAGCAUGGAGGGGAAUCAGAAUGCCACUAUUCCUUUGUCGUCAUCACAGCAUUUUUACUGACACCAUAUUCCCAUGACAGAGGAUUGGUAAGAUCACAAUUAAUCCAACAACUUAGUUCCCUUCCUUCUGUUCAGCAAUAGCUUUAUUAUUAGAUUUGUUUCCACGUGGAAAGAGAGAGUUUUUAAAUUCAAGAAAGGGAGAGAUCGGGAUUUUCAACCAGCAGUUUACAAAACGUGAACUGGUGGAGAACCAGGGUCAGUCAAUUUUUUUUUACUUCAGGUCAGGUCCUGGUUGAGCCCUAAUAAAGUUUCAGGAUUCAAAGCCACUGGGAAAAGAAGGUUCCAGACACAGAGAUUCCGGGGAUUGUUGUUGCUUACUGUGAUGGAUUUUUAGGGAUAUGACACAUGAACUUGCCAGCUGGAUAUGGCUGCCAGCUGGGCUUCAUCAAAUCAAAGGAAUAACCUGCUGUAGUUCCAUGCUUUCUUGGGAAUCCACAGAGUCUUCUGCCUCAUCAGGUAUGAAUUUAUUUUCCUUUGUCUUAUAAUAUUCAUAGAUAUGUGACCUGAUUAGGUGUUCAGAAGGCCAUAUUCCUUCUGUUAUUAAUAGACUCCUGAGAUUUCUAUAAUUUUAAGUUCCCCCUGCUCUGCGUCCCUUAGUCUUUUUUUGCUCACUUUCUGACUCCUUCCCCUUUAAUGGCAUUUCUAUGGGACUGGAGCUCAAAACUAUUUUAGCUUCUUUCCACACUAAGCAAUUCAUCUUUUACCAGUCUUAAUCUCUGCCUCAAGUGAUUUCUAGAGGAACAGAAUGGGCUACAGGUGAAUGCUAGGUAUUUUGCCUUUGGCUUAGUGGAGUGCCAAAUACAUGCCCAGUUCUUUUUUUCCUCAGUUCUCUUGCUGAGUACCAUUGUCACACAGGGUGCUGCCAUGAUAUGGUCCCAGCCAGAGUGAACUUCUGUCUUUUAGUUUUCAGUGGCACUGAGAAGAAAAGAGGAAGCAAAUAAUGCUCAAUUCUUUUGUAAGCCCAUGGGUUGGUUUGUGCAGACUUGCCAGAGCAUGGUAGGUAAUAGGAGGAGUGGUGAGAGUAAGUGGGUUCAGAAUGAAAAGAAUUGGAUCUUCUGCUGUUAGUUCAGUUGCUUUUCAUAUAAUUAGGGCUUUUGGUAUCCUAGACCUUGGAGACAACUAGAAUUGCUUUAUUUCUUGUGCAUAAUUACUAUUUAAGAUAAUUUUGGGUUUGUCAAGAUUGGAGAAAAGCAUAAUCUUUUAAUUUGUUUACCUAACAAUAUUACUAACAAUAUUGCAUCUCAUCACUGAAUAAAGUCUAUUAGGAAAUAAAUUGAAACUAUCUU